rnacentral:rRNA from 1 species
GAUGAACGCUAGCUACAGGCUUAACACAUGCAAGUCGAACGGACAUUUUUUGGAAAGCUCUUCGGAACUGGAAUCUAAAUGUUAGUGGCGGACGGGUGAGUAACGCGUGAGCAAUCUGCCUUUCAGAGGGGGAUAACAGCCGGAAACGGCUGCUAAUACCGCAUAAUGCAUUGGAUUCGCAUGUUUCUGAUGCCAAAGAUUUUAUCGCUGAAAGAUGAGCUCGCGUCUGAUUAGCUAGUUGGCGGGGUAACGGCCCACCAAGGCGACGAUCAGUAGCCGGACUGAGAGGUUGAACGGCCACAUUGGGACUGAGACACGGCCCAG